rnacentral:rRNA from 1 species
UACGUAGGGGGCAAGCGUUGUCCGGAUUUAUUGGGCGUAAAGAGCGUGUAGGCGGCCAGACAGGUCCGUUGUGAAAACUCGAGGCUCAACCUCGAGACGCCGAUGGAAACCGUUUGGCUAGAGUCCGGAAGAGGAGAGUGGAAUUCCUGGUGUAGCGGUGAAAUGCGCAGAUAUCAGGAAGAACACCAAUGGCGAAGGCAGCUCUCUGGGACGGUACUGACACUGAGACGCGAAAGCGUGGGGAGCGAACAGG